CUCUCCCUUUAUGGGAAGUAACUGAGCAGAGGCAUUGUUCGGAUUCAUGUCCCAUUCUCCUGCACCAAUCUAUCUCAGAUUGAAAAGCAUCUUCGUGCCUUCUCCUCAGACUCUGAUAAUUAUCUAAAAGAGUUCAAGUCUCUUAUCCAGUCUUACGACUUAACCUGGCAUGAUAUUUACAUCAUACUUUCCUCCACUCUUCUCCCAGGAGAGAAGGAACAAGUAUGGGAUUUGGACAUCCCCUCUGGUCCCAAGCAAGAGUCCUCCGACCCAGCUCUGCCCAGCCUCCUCAGACUCACCACUGAAGACGAAGGUGCUCAGGGCUCCAGGCCCCGACUCUCAUCACCUCUAUGGAGCCCAGGGUAACUCUUACAGUGGCAGGUACAUAACAGAGAGAAGGCCCUCAGAGCCACCGAACUGCCAAACUACAGGGUUACUGACACCAGUUUAUGACUACCUUUAAAACAAUGCAAGAGGAAGAAAUCAAAAUCCUAUCAUCUUUUUUCCUCAUCACCGACUCCUGACCUGGACCCCUUGCCUUAUAUAAGCUCCUAGACUCCUCAAGGAGGGAGGGCUAAGUUCUUGAGGCAUGAGACUACUGUGUUCCCCUCUCCGCUGGCUGAGAAUAAAAGCCACCUUUCUAUUUCCUCUAAACUCUGUCUCUGUAUUUUUCAUUCAACCUCGGUGGGCAGAGAACACCAAGAUUUUGGCCAGCAAUAGGCAUGACACUUUAAUGACAUCGGGUUAUUGUAAAAGGAAAAGGUAAAAAU
rnacentral:lncRNA from 1 species